rnacentral:rRNA from 1 species
ACGUAGGCAGCGAGCGUUGUUCGGAAUUACUGGGCGUAAAGAGUGUGUAGGCGGUGCUCUAAGUUCGGUGUGAAAUCUCCUGGCUUAACUGGGAGGGUGCGCCGGAAACUGGAGUGCUCGAACGUGGGAGAGGAAAGCGGAAUUCCUGGUGUAGCGGUGAAAUGCGUAGAUAUCAGGAGGAACACCUGUGGUGUAGACGGCUUUCUGGACCAUUGUUGACGCUGAGACACGAAAGCGUGGGUAGCAAACAGGAUUAGAUACCCUGGUAGUCCACGCCCUAAACGAUGCAUACUUGGUGUCGGCCAUUCAGUUGGUCGGUGCCGGAGCUAACGCGUUAAGUAUGCCGCCUGGGGAGUACGGUCGCAAGGCUG